UACGGGGGGGGCAAGCGUUGUUCGGAAUUACUGGGCGUAAAGCGUGCGCAGGCGGUUUUGUAAGUCUGACGUGAAAUCCCCGGGCUUAACCUGGGAAUUGCGUUGGAGACUGCAAGGCUGGAGUCUGGCAGAGGGGGGUAGAAUUCCACGUGUAGCAGUGAGAUGCGUAGAGAUGUGGAGGAACACCGAUGGCGAAGGCAGCCCCCUGGGCCAAGACUGACGCUCAUGCACGAAAGCGUGGGGAGCAAACAGG
rnacentral:rRNA from 1 species